UGGGGAAUAUUGGACAAUGGGCGAAAGCCUGAUCCAGCCAUGCCGCGUGUGUGAAGAAGGUCUUCGGAUUGUAAAGCACUUUAAGUUGGGAGGAAGGGCAGUAAGCGAAUACCUUGCUGUUUUGACGUUACCGACAGAAUAAGCACCGGCUAACUCUGUGCCAGCAGCCGCGGUAAUACAGAGGGUGCAAGCGUUAAUCGGAAUUACUGGGCGUAAAGCGCGCGUAGGUGGUUCGUUAAGUUGAAUGUGAAAGCCCCGGGCUCAACCUUGGAACUGCAUCCAAAACUGGCGAGCUAGAGUAGGGCAGAGGGUGGUGGAAUUUCCUGUGUAGCGGUGAAAUGCGUAGAUAUAGGAAGGAACACCACUGGCGAAGGCGACCACCUGGGCUCAUACUGACACUGAGGUGCGAAAGCGUGGGGAGCAAACAGG
rnacentral:rRNA from 1 species